rnacentral:rRNA from 1 species
UACGUAGGGUGCGAGCGUUAAUCGGAAUUACUGGGCGUAAAGCGUGCGCAGGCGGUUUUGUAAGCCAGAUGUGAAAGCCCCGGGCUUAACCUGGGAAUGGCAUUUGGGACUGCAAGGCUUGAGUGCGGCAGAGGAGACUGGAAUUCCUGGUGUAGCAGUGAAAUGCGUAGAUAUCAGGAGGAACACCGGUGGUGUAGACGGCUCUCUGGACCGUAACUGACGCUGAGACACGAAAGCGUGGGUAGCAAACAGG